AGGCCCAAAACCAUCAUUGGGAGACAUCGACCAGUGUCUGCCAUAUUUCUGGUAUAGCACUUUUUGAGCCGUCUUGGUGGCCUAUUGGUAACUGCUGGCCUCAACCAAUAUGUCCUAUCAUGUAAUGGAUGCUUAAGCAGACGAGGACAACAUUGGCCCGACUCAAGUGCUUCCUCAAACAGAGUCACUCAACAUGUUAGAAUGAAUGAACCUGCAUAUUUCAGACAGGAAUUCCUGGUCGUGCCUUCAGUCUUGAGCCAUUACAUUAUCAUCCUCUCGUGGAUAGUUGAAAGCGGCAAAUUCGAAAUCCUGUUCUUAUCUAGACAGAAAUCCCAUUGGUUCGAAAACUAACGAACUGACGGAACUCAUUGACGAGAAAACCCAUGACUGGGGCAGCACCCGAGUUGGAAUGGAGAAAAUCUUCGACGAACCUGGUUUGGCCAUCCUCCCUGGGUCCCUCCGCUCACACUGAUACUGCCAAUACCAACGAGCGAGAGUGAGCGACGAAGCCCACACCAUUUCGUGGUUGAAAAUUAGACGACGACUGGAAGAGCGAACAAACGGAAAGGAUAAACGACGAAGGACAACGACGGUCAAACGAUCUCGAGGAUCAAGAGAGAUAUGUAUGUAUUCUGGGAGAAGUUGGUGAUUCGGACACAAAAAGGCUAUUAUGCAAAUGCUUUCGACAAAAAAACCCGGAAGAUCCAUUAGACACAAUCGCUCUUUAAAUCUGGAUAUGAAACGGCGGAGAUCUCAAAGGGAAAACUAUUAAACCGAAUAGAUUCAAUUUAAUGCCGUCUCAAUGAUCCUGACACUCUGAUAACGAAAGAGCCACCAAAAGCCUAAUAGGUCCUCAAUACAGAAAACACCAGGUACCUAGGUACAAGUAUAUGUUUUACCACUUUGGUUCUGCCCUUUUUACUGAUAAAAUCCAAAAAUCUUUCUGCUGCUGCAUCACUAAUGCAGUCGUCUUGUUUCCAAUUGGUAUUUGUAUUCUAAAAGUCUGGGCAAUGGGUGAAGAGCAAAGGCGUCCGCGAGAAUUAGUUUUCAGCAUCCACGGCAUCCCAAUCAACGCCUUCAAUAACCAUAUAUCAUCGUACUGGUGUGCAGAUUGCAUUCGAGGUUUCUUACUGUAA